AUGCACGCUGGCGGCGUGCCUAAUACAUGCCAGUCGAGCGAACAGACGAGGAGCUUGCUCCUCUGACGUUAGCGGCGGACGGGUGAGUAACACGUGGAUAACCUACCUAUAAGACUGGGAUAACUUCGGGAAACCGGAGCUAAUACCGGAUAAUAUAUUUAACCGCAUGGUUCAAUAGUGAAAGACGGUUUUGCUGUCACUUAUAGAUGGAUCCGCGCCGCAUUAGCUAGUUGGUAAGGUAACGGCUUACCAAGGCAACGAUGCGUAGCCGACCUGAGAGGGUGAUCGGCCACACUGGAACUGAGACACGGUCCAGACUCCUACGGGAGGCAGCAGUAGGGAAUCUUCCGCAAUGGGCGAAAGCCUGACGGAGCAACGCCGCGUGAGUGAUGAAGGUCUUCGGAUCGUAAAACUCUGUUAUUAGGGAAGAACAAAUGUGUAAGUAACUAUGCACGUCUUGACGGUACCUAAUCAGAAAGCCACGGCUAACUACGUG
rnacentral:rRNA from 1 species